UCCACUACAAAUCUAGAAGUACACUUGUCUCAACUCCAGAGUGUUUACACCAAAAACGGAGCAGACGGCUCUGCAGUUAUUGAAUGUGAGCACUGUCUUGGGCAGAGAAGGGAGGAGCUCAGGUUCUCUAGUGUGAUCCGGUACAGAAAGACCAGUGAGAUCUUUGACAAGUGAUUCCACAGAGGACUUCCUUUCACUGUGCGGAGGGUACAUCAGUUGCUACCAAUGGAGACAACUUCUUUCUAACAUAAGCCGGUGAAAACUUAACUACAGCACACAAGGAAGUCUGAAUAGUUAACAGAUUCCAAAAAAUUGCUGAAUCAUCAUGCUCUGAUAGGAUUCUUCCAGAGAAUUGGCAGAAGCUAACUGAUGAUGCAACUUCCUAGGAAAAAAUAAAUUCAGUUGGUCUGGCCUGGAUCAUACACCAAACCCAUGGGACCAGAACAAAGGGCAGGGGUAUUGUUCUCCAAAGAAAGAACUGAAGUUCUUACCAGAAGAAGAGGGAAGGGAGACUGGAUACUCUUUCUUCUGAAUUUUCACAGUGGUCUUCACAAUUGGACUGACUUUAAGCAGAAGUGGAUUUACUUGUUAUGCAGAGUGGCUGAACUCUCUCAAGACUCCUACCUCCAACUUGCUUUCUCAUCUGUCAUAGGACCUAAGCAAACACGGGGACAUUUAAUUUGAUUUCUGCUCUAAAAAAGACAUUUUAAUGAGUUUGUUGUAAAAUUCUUAAAAUGUUUUAGAUCUCACUAAUGUGACUAUUAAAACUGUUUUCCAAAAAUGUGCAGUUCCUCUUGAACCAAGAAGAAUUUUGGGAACAGAAAUUCACUAACGUUAUCUUUUUACAUGUGUGUUUGUACACUUCACCUGUAACUUAUUACCAACAUAUGGGAUUGUAUGAUAUUCAGCCAUGCUGCUAUGGUGUCUCUUGACCCCUAGUCUUAUUUAGUUGCACACAGUAAAGUCUCAAUAAAUAAAUGUUUAAUGUUUAUGGAAUGAGAUUUCCAUUUCAAUUAAAAGUGCAUAUUAAUAUCCAUAUUUUAAAUGUGGCUUGAUACAAGAAGCUUCAGAAAGCACAUUCACUGACUGACCAAUUCCUUAGAGGGUUUACAGAGUCCACAUUGGUUGGAAGAACGCGGAAAGGAAAUGCAAUAAAACCCAAACCAAAUUAAUGUAUUUAUUUUCAAUUGAAGUGAUUUA